UACAGAGGGGGCAAGCGUUGUUCGGAAUUACUGGGCGUAAAGGGCGCGUAGGCGGCCCGCUAAGUCGCACGUGAAAGCCCUCGGCUCAACCGAGGAACUGCGCUUCAAACUGUAGAACUAGAGGGAGAUAGAGGUGAGCAGAACUGAUGGUGGAGCGGUGAAAUGCGUUGAUAUCAUCAGGAAUACCGGAGGCGAAGGCGGCUCACUGGGUCUCUUCUGACGCUGAGGAACGAAAGCUAGGGGAGCAAACGGG
rnacentral:rRNA from 1 species